GAUGAACGCUGGCGGCGUGCUUAACACAUGCAAGUCGAACGGAAAGGCCCAAGCUUGCUUGGGUACUCGAGUGGCGAACGGGUGAGUAAAACGUGGGUGAUCUGCCCUGCACUUCGGGAUAAGCCUGGGAAACUGGGUCUAAUAUCGGAUAGGACCACAUUAUGGACGGUGUGGAGGAAAGAUUUUCGGUGUGGGCUGGGCUGGCGGCCUAUCAGCUUGUUGGUGGGGUAAUGGCCUCCGAAGGCGUCGACGGGUAGCCGGCCUGGGAGGGUGUACGGCCACAAUGGGACUAAGAUACGGCCCAGACUCCUACGGGAGGCAGCAGGGGGGAAUAUUGCACAAUGGGCGCAAGCCUGAUGCAGCGACGCCGGGUGGGGGAUGACGGCCUUCGGGUGGUAAACUACUUUCGCUAGGGACGAAGCGUUAUGUAACGUAACCUGGAGAAGAAGCACCGGCAAACUACGG
rnacentral:rRNA from 1 species